GGUGUUGCUUAUAUACCCUAAGGAUACCAGAUCCUCUCUGACUUUGGAAAUUAAACAGGGUCAACCUAAUUAGUACAUGGAUAGGAAACUGCCAAUGAACACCAGGUAUUGUAGGUG
rnacentral:rRNA from 1 species